ACAAAGCAUCAUAUCACUUGAAAAAGAAGGAAAGUACCUCUGAAAUGCAUAUGGAGGAUGCUGCCCCAUCCAAAUGUCUCCUCCUCACUGUGUGAGUGCUCUAACCAAUGUGGGCAGGUUAGAAAGCACUGUGAAGCAUCCCUUUUGGAAACCGGGGCUGUUAUUUGCUUUGAUGGAACAAAAUGGAGAAAGUAACAUCCAUAAGGAAAUAUAUGAAGGCCUAACCUGCCCUGUGUUCAAGUACUUCAUAAUGUAGGAGCUGCUGUUGUCUCAGAACAACUAAAAUACAGACCAUAAAAAUUCAGGCAAGGGAAGACUGGGGAAGGCAAUGAGGAAAAAUGUUUGAUUUAGAGAUAAAAGAUAAAUUUAUCUGUGAUCUUGGAUGUUUGUAGUAAUUUCCAAUCUCAGAAAUUUGUGCCAAAUGGUCAGUUCAGCAGUAGUUGACUUACUCACCCUGAGGACUACCAGCAAAGUACAAUCAAUUCCAGAAAUCAUAUAAAAUUGAGGUUGUUCCCAUGAAGGAAUGGGGUUCGUGGGGGCUACCCUGGGCACCUUGCAGAGAAAGAGCAGUCACAGGUGAAAGACAUAUCUCACUGAUUCUCAGUUUAUUUUUUCCAUUUUAUUAAGAAACUCAAAAACAAAACAAACCCACACUGUUAUACAAAAACCUUUUGAGCUCCAGGCAGGAAUACAGUUUUCUUGUAGCAACUCUUCUUACUUUAUCUCCUCUUCCCACAGCCAGUGAAGUAACAAAUAAAUGUGCAUCUGCCAUGUUACA
rnacentral:lncRNA from 1 species